CACCGCGGUUAUACGAGAGGCCCAAGUUGUUAAACCCCGGCACAAAGCGUGGUUAGGAGCCCCCCCCCUUUUUUAAAGCCGAAACCCCUCAAAACCGUUAUACGCAUUCGAGAACCCGAAGACCCCCCCCCGCUUUAACCCCCCUCCGAACCCACGAAAGCUGAGACA
rnacentral:rRNA from 1 species